rnacentral:rRNA from 1 species
GACGAACGCUGGCGGCGUGCUUAACACAUGCAAGUCGAACGGAAAGGCCCCUUUGGGGGUACUCUAGUGGCGGACGGGUGAGUAACACGUGAGUAACCUGCCCUUGACUUCGGGAUAACUUCAGGAAACUGGGGCUAAUACCGGAUAGGAAUCCUUGCUGCAUGGUGGGGGUUGGAAAGCUUCGGCGGUCUUGGAUGGACUCGGGGCCUAUCAGCUUGUUGGUGGGGUAGUGGCUUACCAAGGCGCUGAUGGGUAGCCGGCCUGAGAGGGGGACCGGGGACAGUGGGAGCGAGAGACGGCAUAGGGACUGAGGGGCGGCCGAGGCUGCUACGAGUGGCAGAAGGGGGGAAGAUUGCACAAUGGGCGGAGGCCGGAUGAAGCAGGGCCGCGUGCGGGAUAGCGGCCUUCGGGUUGUAGACCGCUUUCAGCAGGAGCGAAGCUUGUGGUGACGGUACCUGCAGAAGAAGCACCGGCUAACUACGUG